UGAUGGGGAACUAUGGCUAUUCCUUUGU
rnacentral:piRNA from 1 species